ACCAAAAGGGCCAACUCAUUAAUAGGGACAGUACAUAGUGAAGGAAAUAAAAAUUGAGGAUGAACCAGAAGGAAGAGAAAGAGAGAAGAGUAAACUCUUUGUAAAUGACUUUCUCUAGUAUGAGUGGAGCAGGUCAACGAUUAUAAGAUGAGCUCCUUAAGGGCAGGGGAUACAUGGAACAACAUGAUUUCAUCUUUCUUCUUAUUCUUAGUGCUUACUUAACACAAUAAUUGUCAGUAGUACAGAGAGUCUCAUUGCCAGAAGGAUAGCCCCAAGAAUUAAUGAAAACUUCUACUAAGAUAUAGCCAGAUCUGUCUGGGUGGAAGCAUGAAAUGAAAUCACAAGUCUUUGAAGUAUGGAAGUAAAUACAGAAGACUGUGCAAGAAUAUAUGACUGGCUGAAAGCUACAUCCAAGGCAUUUCUGGACACUGACGUGCAGAAGUCCCUCUUCGUGAUUUGUCUCUCCUACAGUUGCCAGUGAAUCACUGUCUGAGCCAACAGAGCUACUCUGUCCCUCUUACAAAUGUGGAAUUAAAUCAAUUUAGCAAUGAA